rnacentral:lncRNA from 1 species
GGAAAUAUGCCCUAGAGGCAAUAAUAAAGUUAUUAUAUAUUUCCUCAUAUCAUGAUAAAUGUUUAUUAUUCAUGCUAGAAUUGUAUUAAUCGGAAACAUAAUACAUGUGUGAAUAUAUAGACAAACAGAGUGUCACUAGUAUGCCUCUACUUGACUAGCUUGUUAAUCAAAGAUGGUUAUGUUUCCUAACCAUGAACAAGGAGUUGUUAUUUGAUUAACAAGGUCACAUCAUUAGUUGAAUGAUCUGAUUGACAUGACCCAUUCCAUUAGCUUAGCACACGAUCGUUUAGUAUGUUGCUAUUGCUUCCUUCAUGACUUAUACAUGUUCCUAUGACUAUGAGAUUAUGCAACUCCCGUUUACCGGAGGAACACUUUGUGUGCUACCAAACGUCACAACGUAACUGGGUGAUUAUAAAGGUGCUCUACAGGUGUCUCCGAAGGUACUUGUUGGGUUGGCGUAUUUCGAGAUUAGGAUUUGUCACUCCGAAUGUCGGAGAGGUAUCUCUGGGCCCUCUCGGUAAUACACAUCACUUAAGCCUUGCAAGCAUUUCAACUAAUGAGUUAGUUGUGAGAUGAUGUAUUACAGAACGAGUAAAGAGACUUGCCGGUAACGAGAUUGAACUAGGUAUUGGAUACCGACGAUCGAAUCUCGGGCAAGUAACAUACCGAGGACAAAGGGAACGACGUAUGUUGUUAUGCGGUCUGACCGAUAAAGAUCUUCGUAGAAUAUGUAGGAACCAAUAUGGGCAUCCAGGUCCCGCUAUUGGUUGUUGACCGGAGAUGUGUCUCGGUCAUGUCUACAUUGUUCUCGAACCGUAGGGUCCGCACGCUUAAGGUUUCGAUGAAGGUUAUAUUAUGAGUUUAUGAGUUUUGAUGUACCAAAGGAGUUCGGAGUCCCGGAUGAGAUCGGGGACAUGACGAGGAGUCUCGAAAUGGUCGAGACGUAAAGAUCGAUAUAUUGGACGACUAUAUUCGGAGUUCGGAAAGGUUCCGAGUCAUUCGGGUAUUUAUCGGAGUACCGGAGAGUUACGGGAAUUCGCGGGGGAGAAGUAUUGGGCCUUAUGGGCCAUACGGGAAAGAGAGAGGGGCUGCCCUAGGCAGGCCGCGCGCCCCCCCUUGCCCUAGUCAGAAUUGGACUAAGGGGAGAGGGGCCGCACCCCCUCCUUCCUUCCCUUCUCCCUCCCCUGUCCUAGUCUCCUUCUCAUAAUACAUGGAAGGUCUCCUAGUUGGACUAGGAAAAGGGGAAUCCUACUCCCGGUGGGAGUAGGACUCCCCAGGGCGCGCCAUAGUAGAGGGCCGGCCCUCCCCUCCUCCACUCCUUUAUAUACGGGGGCAGGGGGCACCCCAUGGACACACAAGUUGAUCCUUGAGAUCGUUCCUUAGCCGUGUGCGGUGCCCCCCUCCACCAUAUUUCACCUCGGUCAUAUCGUAGCGGUGCUUAGGCGAAGCCCUACGUCGGUAGAACAUCAAGAUCGUCACCACACCGUCGUGCUGAUGGAACUCUCUCUCCCCGGAGCUUUGCUGGAUCGGAGCCCGAGGAGCGUCACCGAGCUGUACGUGUGUCAAGAACUCGGAGGCGCCGGAGUAAUGGCGCUGGGAUCGGUUGGAUCGCGAGGAGAACUUACGACUACUUCCUCUACGUUGUGAUCGCUUCCGCUUCGGUCUACGAGGGUACGUAGACAACACUCUCCCCUCUCGUUUCUAUACGUCACUAUGAUCUUGCGUGUGCGUUGGAAAUUUUUUGAAAUUAGUACGUUCCCCAACAGUGGCAUCCGAGCCUAGGUUUUUAUGGUUUGAUGUUUUGCACGAGUAGAACACAAGUGAGUUGUGGACGAUACAAGUCAUACUGCCUACCAGCAUGUCACACUUUGGUUCAGCGGUAUUGUAAGAUCAAGCGGCCCGGACCGACAUUACGCGUAUGCUUACGCGAGACUGGUUUCACCGUUACGAGCACUCGUGCUUAAAGGUGGCUGGCGGGUGUAUGUCUCUCUCACUUUAGUUGAACCGAGUGUGGCUACGCCCGGUCCUUGUGAAGGUUAAAAUGGAGUCUAUUUGACAAACUAUCGUUGUGGUUUUUGAUGCAUAGGUAAGAACGGUUCUUGCUAAGCCCGUAGCAGCCACGUAAAAUUUGCAACAACAAAGUAGAGGACGUCUAACUUGUUUUUGCAGGGCAUGUUGUGAUGUGAUAUGGUCAAGACGUGAUGCUAUAUUUUAUUGUAUGAGAUGAUCAUGUUUUGUAACCGAAGUUAUCGGCAACUGGCAGGAGCCAUAUGGUUGUCGCUUUAUUGUAUAAAAUGCAAACGCCCUGUAAUUGCUUUACUUUAUCACUAAGCGGUAGCGAUAGUCGUAGAAGUAAUAGAUGGCGUAAACGACAACGAUGCUACGAUGGAGAUCAAGGUGUCGCGCCGGUGACGAUGGUGAUCACAAUGGUGCUUCGGAGAUGGAGAUCACAAGCACAAGAUGAUGAUGGCCAUAUCAUAUCACUUAUAUUGAUUGCAUGUGAUGUUUAUCCUUUAUGCAUCUUAUUUUGCUUUGAUUGACGGUAGCAUUUUAAGAUGAUCUCUCACUAAAAUUAUCAAGUAGUGUUCUCCCUGAGUAUGCACCGUUGCCAAAGUUCGUCGUGCCCAGACACCACAUGAUGAUCGGGUGUGAUAAGCUCUACGUCCAUCUACAACGGGUGCAAGCCAGUUUUGCACACGCAGAAUACUCAGGUUAUACUUGACGAGCCUAGCUUAUGCAGAUAUGGCCUCGGAACACGGAGACCGAAAGGUCGAGCGUGAAUCAUAUAGUAGAUAUGAUCAACAUAAGAUGUUCACCAUUGAAAACUACUCCAUCUCACGUGAUGAUCGGUUAUGGUUUAGUUGAUUUGGAUCACGUGAUCACUUAGAUGACUAGAGAGAUGUCUGUCUAAGUGGGAGUUCUUAAGUAAUAUGAUUAAUUGAACUUAAAUUUAUCAUGAACUUAGUCCUGGUAGUAUUUUGCAAAUUAUGUUGUAGAUCAAUAGCUCGCGUUGUUGCUUUCAUAUGUUUGUUUUUGAUAUGUUCCUAGAGAAAAUUGUGUUGAAAAAUGUUAGUAGCAAUGAUGCGGAUUCGAUCCGUGAUCGGAGGUUUAUCCUCAUUGCUGCGCAGAAGAAUUAUGUCCUUGAUGCACUGCUAGGUGACAUACCUAUUGCAGGAGCAGAUGCAGACGUUAUGAACGUUUGGUUAGCUCAAUAUGAUGACUACUUGAUAGUUUUGUGCACCAUGCUUUAUAGCUUAGAAUCGGGACUUCAAAGAUGUUUUGAACGUCAUGGACCAUAUGAGAUGUUCCAGGAGUUGAAGUUAAUAUUUCAAGCAAAUACCCGAGUUGAGAGAUAUGAAGUCUCCAACAAGUUCUAUAGCUAAAAGAUGGAGGAGAAUCGCUCAACUAGUGAGCAUGUGCUCAGAUUGUCUGGGUACUACAAUCGCUUGAAUCAAGUGGGAGUUAAUCUUCCAGAUAAGAUAGUGAUUGACAGAAUUCUCUAGUCACCAUCACCAAGUUAGUAGAACUUCGUGAUGAACUAUAGUAUGCAAGGGAUGAUGAAAAUGAUUCCCGAGUUUUUCAUGAUGAUGAAAUCGAUGAAGGUAGAAAUCAAGAAAAAACAUCAAGUGUUGAUGGUUAACAAGACCACUAGUUUCAAGAAAAGGGCAAAGGGAUAGAAGGGAACUUCAAAAAGAAAGGCAAGCAAGUUGCUGCUCAAGUGAAGAAGCCCAAGUCUGGACCUAAGCCUGAGACUAAGUGCUUCUACUGCAAAGGGACUGGUCACUGGAAGCAGAACUACCCCAAGUAUUUGGCGGAUAAGAAGGAUGGCAAAGUAAACAAAGGUAUAUUUGAUAUACAUGUUAUUGAUGUGUACUUUACUAGUGUUUAUAGCAACCCCUCGGUAUUUGGUACUGGAUCAGUUGCUAAGAGUAGUAACUCGAAACGGGAGUUGCAGAAUAAACAGAAACUAGUUAAGGGUGAAGUGACGAUGUGUGUUGAAAGUAAUUUCAAAAUUGAUAUGAUUAUCAUCGCACACUCCCUAUACUUUCGGGAUUAGUGUUGAACCUAAAUAAAUGUUAUUUGGUGUUUGCGUUGAGAAUGAAUAUGAUUUGAUCGUGUUUAUUGCAAUACGGUUAUUCAUUUAAGUAAGAGAAUAAACUGUUGUUCUGUUUACAUGAAUAAAACCUUAUAUGUUUACACACCCAAUGAAAAUGGUUCAUUGGAUCUCGAUCGUAGUGAUACACAUAUUCAUAAUAUUGAAACCAAAAGAUGCAAAGUUAAUAAUGAUAGUGCAACUUAUUUGUGGCACUGCCGUUUAGGUCAUAAUGGUGUAAAGCGCAUGAAGAAACUCCAUGCUGAUGGGAUUUUGGAAUCACUUGAUUAUGAAUCACUUGAUGCUUGCGAACCAUGCCUCAUGGGCAAGAUGACUAAGACUCCGUUCUCCGGAACAGUGGAGCGAGCAACUGACUUAUUGGAAAUAAUACAUACUGAUGUAUGCGAUCCAAUGAGUGUUAAGGCUCGCGACGGGUAUCGUUAUUUUCUGACCUUCACAGAUGAUUUGAGCAGAUAUGGGUAUAUCUACUUGAUGAAACAUAAGUCUGAAAUAGUUGAAAGGUUCAAAGAAUUUCAGAGUGAAGUGGAAAAAUCAUCGUGACAAGAAAAUAAGGUUUCUACGAUUUGAUCGCGGAGACGAAUAUUUGAGUUACGAGUUUGGUCUUCAAUUAAAACAAUGUGGAAUAGUUUCACAGCUCACGCCACCUGGAACACCACAAUGUUAUGGUGUGUCCAAACAUCGUAACCGCACUUUAUUGGAUAAAGUGCAAUCUAUGAUGUUUCUUACUGAUUUACCAAUAUCGUUUUGGGAUCAUGCAUUAGAGACAGCUGCAUUCACGUUAAAUUGGGCACCAUCUAAAUCCGUUGAGACGACACUAUAUGAACUGUGGUUUAGCAAGAAACCCAAGUUGUCGUUUCUUAAAGUUUGGAGUUGCGAUGCUUAUGUGAAAAGUUUCAUCCUGAUAAGCUCAAACCCAAAUCGGAGAAGUGCGUCUUCAUAGAAUACCCAAAGGAAAUUGUUGGGUACACCUUCUAUCACAGAUCCGAAGGCAAGAUAUUCGUUGCUUAAGAUGGAUCCUUUCUAGAGAAGGAGUUUCUCUCGAAAGAAGUGAGUGGGAGGAAAGUAGAACUUGAUGAGGUAACUUUACCUGUUCCCUUAUUGUAAAGUAGUUCAUCACAGAAAUCUGUUCUUGUGACUACUACACCAAUUAGUGAGGAAGCUAAUGAUGAUGAUCAUGUAACUUCAGAUCAAGUUACUACUGAAUCUCGUAGGUAAACCAGAGUGAGAUCCGCACCAGAGUGGUACGGUAAUCCUGUUCUGGAAGUCAUGUAACUAGACCAUGAUGAACCUACGAACUAUGAGGAAGCGAUGAUGAGCCCAGAUUCCGCGAAAUGGCUUGAGGCCAUGAAAUCUGAGAUGAGAUCCAUGCAUGAGAACAAAGUGUGGACUUUGGUGGAGUUGCCCGAUGAUCCGCAAGCCAUAGAAAAUAAAUGGAUCUUCAAGAGGAAGACGGACGAUGAUAGUAGUAUUACUAUCUGCAAAGCUAGACUUGUCGAAAAAGGUUUUUGACAAAAUUCAAGAUGUUGAAUACAAUGAGAUUUUCUCACUCGUAUCGAUGCUUAAAAGUCUGUCCGAAUCAUGUUAGCAAUUGCCGCAUUUUAUGAAAUCUGGCAAAUGGAUAAACAAAACUACAUUCCUUAAUGGAGUUAUUAAAGAAGAGUUGUAUGUGAUGCAACCAAGAGGUUUUGACGAUCCUAAAAGUGUUAACAAAAUGUGCAUCUAUGGACUGGUGCAAGCAUCUCGGAGUUGGAAUAUACGCUUUGAUAAGUUGAUCAAAGCAUAUAGUUUAUACAGACUUGCAGUGGAGCCUGUAUUUACUAGAAAGUGAGUGGGAGCACUACAGCAUUUCUGAUAAGUAUAUAUGAAUGACAUAUUGUAGAUCGGAAAUAAUGUAGAAUUAUUCUGCAAAGCAUAAAGGAGUGUUUGAAAGGAGUUUUUCAAAGAAAGACCUCGGUGAAGCUGCUUACAUAUUGAGCAUCAAGAUCUAUAGAGAUAGAUCAAGACGCUUGAUAAGUUUUUUCAAUGAGUACAUACCUUGACAAAAUUUUGAAGUAGUUCAAAAUGGAACAGUCAAAGAAAGAGUUCUUGCCUGUGUUGCAAGGUGUGAAAUUGAGUAAGACUCAAAACCCAACCACGGCAGAAGAUAGAAAGAGAAUGAAAGUCAUUCCCUAUGCCUUGGCCAUAGGUUCUAUAAAGUAUGCCAUGCUGUGUACCAGAUCUAUUGUAUACCCUACACUGAGUUUGGCAAGGGAGUACAAUAGUGAUCUAGGAGUAGAUCACUGGACAGCGGUCAAAAUUAUCCUUAGUGGAAUAAGGAUAUGUUUCUCGAUUAUAGAGGUGACAAAAAGGUUCGUCGUAAAGGGUUACGUCGAUGCAAGUUUUGACACCGAUCUGGAUGACUCUAAGUCUCGAUCUAGAUACAUAUUGAAAGUGGGAGCAAUUAGCUAGAGUAGCUCCGUGCAGAGCAUUGUAGACAUAGAAAAUUGCAAAGUACAUAACGGAUCUGAAUGUGAAAGACCCGUUGACUAAGAUUCUCUCACAAGCAAAACAUGAUCACACCUUAGUACUCACUGGGUGUUAAUCACAUAGCGAUAUGAACUAGAUUACUGAAUCUAGUAAACCCUUUGGGUGUUGGUCACAUGGCGAUGUAAACUAUGGGUGUUAAUCACAUGAUGAUGUGAACUAUCGAUGUUAAUCACAUGGUGAUGUGAUCUAGAUUAUUGACUCUAGUGCAAGUGGGAGACUGAAGGAAAUAUGCCCUAGAGGCAAUAAUAAAGUUAUUAUAUAUUUCCUCAUAUCAUGAUAAAUGUUUAUUAUUCAUGCUAGAAUUGUAUUAACCGGAAACAUAAUACAUGUGUGAAUAUAUAGACAAACAGAGUGUCACUAGUAUGCCUCUACUUGACUAGCUUGUUAAUCAAAGAUGGUUAUGUUUCCUAACCAUGAACAAGGAGUUGUUAUUUGAUUAACAAGGUCACAUCAUUAGUUGAAUGAUCUGAUUGACAUGACCCAUUCCAUUAGCUUAGCACACGAUCGUUUAGUAUGUUGCUAUUGCUUCCUUCAUGACUUAUACAUGUUCCUAUGACUAUGAGAUUAUGCAACUCCCGUUUACCGGAG